ACAGUUGUGCUGUGAGUCCCACAGGAGACAGGCUGUACAUCACCUUCACCAGCUACCCGCAGGACAAGCUUCUCACCCUGGCCAGGGAUGGCACACUCCUGGCUACAUACACAGACCCAGCACUAGGUGGCCUAGGUGGUCUACAUGUGACCCCUGCAGGCCAGGUGCUGGUCUGUGGAUACCUGCCCUACACUGUACUACAGGUGGGCUGGGAGGGAGAGAGUAAGCUGGCUACGCUGGCUACUAAGGAGGAUGGAGUGUGGAGGCCAUGGUCAGUCUGCUACAGCAGCACCACAUCCUCCAUCAUUGUGGGACAGGCUGGGGACGACAUCCUGGUGUUCAGAGUGGAAUAGUGUGUACAUUGGCUGCUGAGUCAGGACAACAAUGAUGAGGAUGUGGUGGACAAGAAUGACCUGAGUACGCAGAAGGUGAGCAUGAGCAUUGUUAUCGAGUUGACAUGGCAAUGGCAACAGUCGGACCCCAGGAGCCUCAGUCCAGGACAACCCUUCCCCUCCCCCCGACCCAUAGGUCCUCCCCUUUGAUCUCCUGCCCCAUAGCUUCGUUGAACAAUACCGGUCUGCUGGAAUAUCUGAGCAUGUUGAGUUUUCACAAGCUGUUCUCAACAACUGUCAUCUCCGUGUUGAUCGAUCUGCACUCGAGCCUGAGUAGUUUGUUAAGCUCCAUUGCCGAAGAAUAAAAAGUUGGAUAACUUGUUCCAUGCUUUGUGGGACUAACAGAGCAACAGCGAAUUAUGGGAGAAAAUCAAGAAACAGUUGAAGAAGAGUUAAAAUUCGAAGCAUAAGCUAUCCACGGGGGCUACUUCUGAUUUCAAUAGUUGUAGCAUAAUGGACCAUCCUGAUUUGUCCUCUAAUGCGUCCAAAAUGUUCAAAGUGAAAGUGCUUUUUACGCAGUUGCUGACAAAAAAAAAUUUGUUAUGAACACUCAUAGCAUGAUUAAUACAUCGGGUGUGGUUCAGGCGUAAAUUCUGCACAUCAUCGUUUACAAGGUGCUUAAGGUGCACCCAUCAGGGUUUGUUACGAUCACUUCACACUCCAAGACAAAACGGCCUCGCAUUGAAUAGACACUAGAUAAAGCAUUGAAAAAUGACAGCAGUUUUGUUGUGUGGUCCAGUAUGCCCUUUGACUUUCAACCCGACAUUAGGUAGAACUCUAACUAGGCCCUCAGCAAUAUCAGCGAGGCCAGCACUUCGUCUCACCUUCUUGAGCCUCAGCAAACAGUAUUAGCCAACAAGACAAAUAUCGUUGAAGUAAAUGUUGAUGGCAAUUCGCACCCCCUUCUUUAACAAAUACUUCAACUCGCUCAAGAAAUUAAGUAGCAAGACGCCUUGCAUCAGCCUAGCACGCCACAUCUUCUCCAAUGUUGGCUUCAAACAGCAGAGCCUUGAUGAGUCCGACUUUUGUCCCAUUCAAUGCUGGACAUGGACAACUUGUUCCAGAUGAGUUGCUGAAGUGAAAAAGAUUUGUCAUUAUACAGCAGAUAGAGCAGGCAUUAAGUGACUUUCUGUAAUUGUGACUGACCUCAAUAUGUUGCUCUGAAAUAAUGUGAACCUGACGCCCAAGGAGCAGUCUGUGAUUGCCAUUUAGCAGCAGCUGUUUACUGACAUGCCAGGUUUUGGGUUUGUUGACUUUGGCAUCUGGACUUGCACCAUCUCUGUCUGUAUCCCAUUAAUGGCAGCCGCAGCAUUAACAACAACAGACGAGUCGCUUAAACAGAAACUAUCUGAUCCAACAGAUAGAGCAGGCGUUGCGUGACUUGUUCCUUAUUGCGACUGACCUCUUGGAAAAUAAAUAAUAAAUAAAAGUUGAUCUGAUAUCAGUUUUAGUCAUAAAAGAGCCUGUUCCUCCUGGUCCAGGACCUUUGGACAAAUGUUCAAAUAGUACUACCCACAGGAUGAAGCCACUCUGAAUCCGGGGCUCCAUACUUUCUUGGCCAGGGGCCAAGACUACCUCGUCAAUAAGCAGAGCACCAGCAUUGAUAUCGAGUUGGCCCAGCAACCGCACAAGUCCCGCCUGCAGGAGCCCCAGUCCAGAACGACCCUUCCCCUCCCCAGACUUCUAACUCCUCCCCCUUGACCUCCUGACUCAAAAAGUCAGCAUCAUUGAACAACUUUGUUCUGCAGUAAAUUCUGAGCAUGAUUCUGUUCUGAACAAACGCAAUGCCCACGUCAAGUUGUCAACACAUAAGCCUGGGUAGUUUUGUUAAGCUAGAGUUCCGCGUGGGCCUGAGAGGGACGAGUUUUACAGACACGAAAAGUUAUAGCAGUAGUUAUGGUAACGCUAACAGUCAGUUGUUGCUGUUGGACAUCACAACGAAUAUCAUGAAGAAUAAAAAGUUCAAUAACUUGUUCCAAUCUUUAUGGGACAAACAGAAAUUGAACAGGAGAAAAUCAAGGAACAAUACAAUCGUAAGCUCUCCUAGGGGGAUACUUCUGCUGCUGAUAGUUUGGACGACAGUAGGGUUACAGACUGCCCAAGAUUGUCCUUGCAGUGGCCGCUAAAAUAUCAUAAUAGACUUUUGGCAAUGUUACUGACAAAGAAAGGCAGUAAUGACUUGGUUGUGAAUACCCAGAGCACGAUACAUCCAUGCUGACUCAGAAUGGCAGUAAUGACUUGGCUGUGAACACAUCGAGCACGAUACAUCCAUGCUGACAGAGAAAGGCAGUAAUGACUUGGUUGUGAAUACCCAGAGCACGAUACAUCCAUGCUGACAAAGAAAGGCAGUAAUGACUUGGUUGUGAACACCCAGAGCACGCUACAUCCAUGGGGGGUGCAUCAGAUGGAAUUUUGCCUAUUAUUGUUAACAAGUUGCUAAGAGUGAACACGUCUGGUUUUGUUAUGAGCACUUCCCACUCAGAGCCCAAAGGUCCUCGCAUUGAAGCGAUGCAAAAGAAGACUUUGAAAAAUGACAGCAGUUGUGUUGUGUGGUCCAGUAAUCCUUUCAACUCUCAACCUGAAGUUUAUCAAAACUCAAACUCAGCCCUUUGCAAUAUCACACCUUGCAACACAGUGUACUUUACCAUGAAUGUUUUGCGGUUUAAAACACCAAAUUUUCAAUUAAAAGUUUGUGCUCGUAACAUAUUGAUACAUUGCUAUUCUGAGUUCUAAUUACGAUAUCCUUAAUAUCAAUAAUAGAUGAAAUGUUUGGCAUUAAAAAAACAGAUGUUUAAAGUAAUUUGUUACAGUGCAUAUUCAUUUGUCACUAAAAAAUUAGGGUUAGUUUGCUUGUCAUUUCCUUUUUAGCAAACAUUAUUAGACAACAAAACAAACGUCGUUUAAGUGAAAGUCCAAGACAAUUCUGACCUAGUUUGGGCACAAGUACAACAACUUAGUAAAGAAAUUCACUUUGUCUUGCAUCAGCCUACAUGUAGAAAGCCUCUUAUAAACAUCUCCCAAGUUGGCUACAUCAACGCUUCCAACAGCGUAACUUGGCAUCGACACAUUGUUCCGAACGAGUCGCUCGAACUGAAACGAUCUGAUCCAACAGAGAGCAGGCUCUGCGUGACUCGUCUGUUAAUGUGACUGACCUGGAUAUGUUGCUUUCCAAUAAUAUGAGCCUUACUCCAGAUUAGCUGUCUGCGAUUGACGCAAUUCAUCAACAGUUGUUGUCAGGAAUUUCCGGCUUUGGGAUGGCAAUUUGGCGUCGGGGCUUCAUCUCUGUCUUUGGCCUGGUCGCAGCAGAAGCAGCAACAAGAACAACAAUUAGUAUAAGAGCCUUCAUCUGGGAUAUGGGGUUUCAUGUAUAUGCUUAAAGUGUCAUCCCAUAUUAUACUGUGCAGACUGCACAUACAUUAAGUCCUAUUUAAGUGUCAUCCCAGAUUAGCUUGUGCAGACUGCACAUACAUUAAGUCCUUUUAAAGUGUCAUUCCAGAUUAGCCUGUGCAGACUGCACAUACAUUAAGUCAUAUUAAAGUGUCAUCCCAUAUUAGCCUGUGCAGACUGCACAUACAUUAAGUCCUAUUAAAGUGUCAUCUCAGAUUAGCCUGUGCAGACUGCACAUACACUAAGCCCUAUUAAAGUGUCAUCCCAGAUUAGCCUGUGCAGACUGCACAUGCAUUAAGUCCUAUAAAAGUGUCAUCCCAGAUUAGCCUGUGCAGACUGCACAUACAUUAAGUCCUAUUAAAGUGUCAUCCCAUAUUAGCCUGUGCAGACUGCACGUACAUCAAGCCCUAUUAAAGUGUCAUCCCAUAUUAGCCUGUGCAGACUGCACAUACAUUAAGCCCUAUAAAAGUGUCACCCCAGAUUAGCCUGUGCAGACUGCACAUACAUUAAGCCCUAUUUUCCCAGAAUGAGGCUCGUAUACUACACUUAACAUCAGUAUUUUAUGUGCCUGAAAAGUUCCUAGCAUCAAAUGGGAAUUAUGUGCUUUUAAAUUGAUCACACUUAGUAAAUAAAAUGCAAAUAGCACUUGAUCUGAUAUCAAUUUUAAUCAUAGAAGGUCAGGGCAUUAAGUUUUGUAUAUUUUCAACCGAAAUUCAGCCCCUGAACCAAAAGUUUAUCGUUGCAGAAAAAUCUGCUUUAAUAGAGUUGUUAAAUUAUAUUUAAUUUUAGAAAAAUAAUUAUGUAAAAGCCUUCAGCUCAUUUCAAAAUUAUUUUCUUCAUUUAUUUUCAAUAUUUAUUUAAAUUUCUGGAUUUUGUUUUUAGAGCCUAUUCCUACAGGAACCCAUGCAAUCAUAGAUCGGUACCUAGCUGAACAACAGGCUGUCUGGUUAGCUGGGCCCAGGGCCCAGUGACACUUCCUGGCCCAGGACCUUUGGGCCAAUGCUCAACUAGUCCUACCCGCAGGGUGGAGCCACACUGAACCUGGGGCUUCAUACUUUCUUGGCCAGGGGCCAAGAUAUCCUCGUCAAUUAGGGACACAUUCCUGGGAUGCCCUAAGGUCUUUCUAUCUGUUCCAAAAGGUCUUAUACUCACAAGUUCAAGCCCAGUAGCGAUGUCCACAUUAUCAAACUCUGCAUCUCAAUAGAAACCCGGAUAGCAAGGCGUUCAGUUUGUUCUUGAAGCAUUUGCACCAGAAGCAGUCAUCAUCUUGAUAUUCUGGAAUCUCCAUGGAGAAGGAACCUCAGUCUGUGAAUGAAAGGCAGAGCGAACCUCAGAUGCCUUUUGACGAAAUCAAACCAUCCAAUCAGAAACACAGACUGUUGCAGCAGUUGUUACCAUAUUGACCCCAGUCAAACCUAAGAAGCUCAGUGAUAAAAACUGAUUUAUCACAACAAUUCAAGUGGAAAGCCACAUGUCAACAACUACAUGUUGUAUGUUGCCAGCCAAGUUGUAUUCAAAGACAAACAAUACUUUAUGCUCUAUUGUGUAUGUGACCAGCCAAGUUGUAUUCAAAGAAAAAGUCAAAAACAUUAGUUUACGUUUUAUUUUUUAUGUGACCAACCAAGUUGUUUGUAUAGGUCCCUGGUUUAGCAAAGCAUUUAAAGUAUUUUUAAAAGCACACAUAUUGCAUGUCUGUUCAAUGUCUUUGCCUGUAUUAUGAAACUUUCACUACAGAUGUUGAUCCUGAUGAUGAUAAAUAAAUGGGAAAUACAUUGUUAUCAAAGAUUUGUUAAGAUUGCCAAAGCUGUUUAAAUGAUGCUGGUAAUUUGAACAAAAUUGAAAAAAACAUUGGAGUGUUUUCAUGUUAUAAGACAUGUUUCAGUUGUCUGUUUUUAACCCGUUAAUACAGAUAAGCUAAUGAAAAAUAUUUGUUCAAAAAGAUGUAAAAUGUUUACGCUUCAGAUUUUUGUCUAUCAACCUUCUGAAAACAAUACUAGUCAAUUGGCUCAUUUGGGUCGGUAUUCCAUCAUGAAUCUUUUUUAGUAGCAUACUAUGUAUUUCAUGGGAAAAUAAAUAAAUUCUGGGCAAAAUUAUCUACCUUAAAUAAUCGAUUCUGUAUUUACUACUGGUACUUUGUUGAUUUCAGUGGAUAUUGUUUGUUAAAUGAUAAUAGUAUGACUCUUGUUG